rnacentral:rRNA from 1 species
UACGUAGGGUGCAAGCGUUUGUCCGGAAUUAUUGGGCGUAAAGAGCUCGUAGGCGGUCUGUCGCGUCUGCUGUGAAAACUCGGGGCUUAACCCCGGGCCUGCAGUGGGUACGGGCAGACUAGAGUGCGGUAGGGGAGACUGGAAUUCCUGGUGUAGCGGUGAAAUGCGCAGAUAUCAGGAGGAACACCGGUGGCGAAGGCGGGUCUCUGGGCCGUAACUGACGCUGAGGAGCGAAAGCGUGGGGAGCGAACAGG